GUACUAUUCCCUCCGUCCCAAAAUUCUUGUCUUACAUUUGUUUAGAUACGGAUGUAUCUAACAGUAAAAUGUAACUAGAUACAUCCGUAUUUAGACAAAUUUAAGGCAACAAUUUUGGGAUGGAGGGAGUACAAA
rnacentral:pre_miRNA from 1 species